UCAUAAUAGGAAUGGCUUUUCUAAACAUUUGGCUAGUUUUUCCUCUCCUCCCUUCUCUGUUCCCCUCCUCCUCUCUUUCCUUCUCUUCUCCCUCCCUCCCUAUUUUCAUCAUGUUUUGGGGUGUCCCAUCUGGCCCAGAAGAAGGGAGAGAUUUGGCUAAACACCAACCAACCAACCAACCAACCAACCAAGAUGAGGAAACUAAGUCUUGGAGCAAUUUAGCAUCUGAAGUUUUGUUCAACCUGGGCCAAUGGCAGAUGGAUCACCAGUCUCAUAGGCCAUUGGAUCUUGGUUAGUCUUCUUCACUUCCUGGCAUUUGGAAAUCUCCAUCCUCAGACUGAAUCUCAGAAGCCUGAUGACAGUGAGCCGGUAGAACGAUCUUCCUCUUGUCCCAGGAUGGGGAAGAUGACAUUGAUUCCAUUGGCAUUUCUCCGGUGGAAUUUUUUGUCUUCACAUCUUUCAUGUUCCAAAUCGUAAUCGAAAUGUAUGGUGUUUAUUACAUCCCCAUAUGUUUGCAAUCAAGGUACCACUCGGGCGGAGGAGAAGCACAAAGCUAUAAUUUGCUGCUUAGCAUCAUAGCUGUUGUACAUUCAUUUAAAUAGCUUUAUUUAUCUUCUUCCCCAUAAAGAACCUUCCAUAUUGUAAAUUUAUUGAAUGGUUAAUGGCCUAAAAGUAUGGGGUUCAUUACUGAACGAUGUAUUUAUUGCAGUGUUAAUUAAAUAAAAGCAUUGUAAUCUUUCCA
ensembl:lncRNA